AAUCUACGAAGGUUAACCUAUGAAAAAAAGCCAGACGCUCGCUCCCUCGUGCCCUCGAUGCCCACUGCCGCUCUUCUCCGCCCCAACCCCAACCCCGCCGCCGCCUCAAUCCCACCGCCGUCGGCCUCCUCCUCCUCUAGCGCCGCCGCUCCAGCCCCUCACCUUCUCAGCCUGGAUCCGUGCGACAAGGUGUGGGGCUAUGGGAGAGAAGGCUCCAUAUCGCGCGACAAGGUGAGGGGGCGCCCAGAUCCGCAGCGGCACCACUGCGCCCUCAUCCUCCUGGCCCUCGAGGUCGGCCAUGGAGGUCUGGCCCGGCCAAUGGAUGGAUGGGGAUGAAACCCUAGCCCAACACCCACCCAUGGAUGGAUGGGGAUGGGGCGACGACGGCGACGACGGCCUUCUCUCGGUGCUUGCUGAUGUGGUGGACAUCGACGUCGGUGACGGGUUGCAGCACGUAGACAUCAAAGGCUGCGGGUGUGACGGAGGAGCACCAUGGCGGGCGUGCAGACCAUGGCUCGCUAUGGAAGGCCCUUCCCUCCCCUCUCUCUGUUCGGGCCAUGCUCAGGCAGUCUUUUCUCUUCUCUUCCCGCAAAAAAGUCUUUUCUCUUCAUGAUCUGAACAUGUUGGAGGCCAUUAUUUCUCCUCUGCCAUACUUUGCUGCUGCUGCCAUGUUAACUGAGAGUUGGUAGCCAAUAUCAAGUGAUUUGGAAUUUUUGUUGAUCUGAACCAUAAUUUAAUGAUAUUGUUCAACAUGGCUCUUGAUAGUUUAAUGAUUCAAUCAAAUUUCAUUGCAAAGUAUACUGGACCAGGCUUUCCUUCUUUCUAAUGCGGUGUUAGUUGGCAUUAAGUUGUGAAAUCCAAAUCCAUACAUUUACAGUUCUUGUUGUUCUAAUUACACAAGUAUUUUCACAUUUUUUGUUAACUAAUCUUCACACCGAACUCCAUCUCAGUAACCAGACCUGAUAUAGUAGUUAGUUUUGGCAUUAGACACAACAACUUUGACAUUGAUAAUUUCCUCAUAUAUUUAGUAGGACAAUAAACUUGUCUAGCAUUUCAUUAUGAGUUGCAGGCUCUGAAAAUAAAUGUAUGUGCCCCCUAAAUGAUUAAACGUGUGGUUUUUGAAUUAUGCAUGCUGACAAUCAUUAUUCAACAAUAUUCCUUUUCACUGAAAUAUAACCAUGUAAUGCUUACGAUUUAAUCUGGUUAUCUACACAACUAAAUGGGUUAAUGUUAUGCUUACUAUCUUUUGGCAUAUGUAAUGCGUGGAAGGAAACCAGUGUCUUUUGAUAGGGAUUUCUAGAGGUAACAUGCCUCUGACUGUAUGCACUAAAUUUAAGACGCUUUGUUUAGAAGAUGCUUUCUUCAGUAGUACUACAUAUUUUUAUGAUUUCCUGUAACUUGCUGAUAUGGCACCGAUUUGCCGCAUGGUGUGCUACAACUACACUCCAGGGGAAUAUUUGUUCAGAAUCUUCAGUCUUGUAAUUUUCUACUUGAUGACCUGCUCGCCGCGACCGCCCAAACCCCAGGCCACACUUCCUCUUCCACUCCGCGUACUCCUGGUUGUAGCCCCAGCUCGCCACAGGCAGGGAUCGGCGGCUCGCUGGCGUGGCGCGUGGCAGGGAGAGAAGGGGGGCAAGAUCGGCGAGGCAGAGUUCUUCCGGAAGGACGGCGUGGUGGGCGACAUGGACGGAUACCUCAACUACCUGUCCCUCGAGUAUGACUUCGUCUCGGACACCAAUCCUACUUGGGUAUCUUCAAGGUCUAUGCUCCAAAUAUAAAUAAGAUUUGGUCCGCCGAGCCCUUCAUUGGCGUCCUCCUGGGACACCUCCAUGUAGCACCAAGGUAAAAAAACACCCUGUUGUUCGUCCCUUUCAAUUGAAAUAUUCCUUUUACAUGCUCAGGUCAUAAGUUUGUGAUCUGCAAGGUUUAUAUGAAAAAGGAUUUCCAAUUAUGGUAAGUUGUAGCUUAUUGAUCCCAACUGUUAGACCAUGUGAGCUCACUGAUUUUGCCAUCUGAAUGUCUGUAGAGUGAAACAAACGUAGCAGUCGUAUGCCAUCUGUUUGCCGAGUUGCAUCAUUAGCCUGAGCAGAUAGCCGUCUUGCAUAUUGUUUGCCCCAAUAAUAUUUCUCAUUUUUCCUCAUGCAUCUUUUGCCCCCAUUGGAGUUAUGGUUAUCUUCUUACAUGGUUGGCAUGCCAAUUUUGUAAACAAGGAACCAGUCAUAAUCAGCAAUCCUGAUUAGCUUAUGCCCAUUGCCUCGUAUCAAUUUUGAGUCUUAGUUUGUUCACCAUAAUCAAUAAGUGGGACCUUUCAUUUCUUCACAAAUGUUGGCCAACCCACCAAAUCGUUCAACUCAUCAACUCACAAACUGCAUGACCAUCAAGCAAGCUAGCACAAGCUAUUUAACUAAAGAAAAGUCAGUCUGUAAUGUGACUACAAAUUAGAUUACAGAGGGAAGUUUGCAAAUCACUAGCUCUGAAAGCAUAAAAUAUAUUCCGAUUUCUAGGCCACUACAUUAUUUUGAAACAUGAGCUUUUUUAAAACUGAGUGUUUGACGUAGCUUGCUGUUAUUGUCAAACUGGAAUAGCGAGUAUAUAUUUGUUUCCUUUUGGUUUAGGAAAGUGAAAAAAAAGAUGCCGUUUGUAUGCCAGGAAUGGCAUAUGUGAACGACUCGGGUGGUAGUUUUUAGGGUAGGGGCAAGGGGCAUUUUUUAUAAACUGCCAUGGCAGUUCUUUAAUUUAGUGCAAUUUUUUGAGAAAACAGCCAUCCACAGGAUCUUGAUUGUGUGGUUCUGUGUGUGUUCACUGGGACCUCAUCACCAGCGAACGUUCGCCGGGUAUUGUUCAACAUGGCUCUUGAUAAUUUAAUGAUUCAAUCAAAUUUCAUUGCAAAGUAUACUUGACCGGGCUUUCCUUCUUUCUAAUGCGGUGUUAGUUGGCAUUAAGUUGUGAAAUCCAAAUCCAUACAUUUACAGUUCUUGUUGUUCUAAUUACACAAGUAUUUUCACAUUUUUUUGUUAACUAAUCUUCACACCGAACACCAUCUCAGUAACCAGACCUGAUAUAGUAGUUAGUUUUGGCAUUAGGCACAACAACUUUGACAUUGAUAAUUUCCUCAUAUAUUUUAGUAGGACAAUAAACUUGUCUAGCAUUUCAUUACGAGUUGCAGGCUCUGAAAAUAAAUGUAUGUGCCCCCUAAAUGAUUAAACGUGUGGUUUUUGAAUUAUGCAUGAUGACAUGCAUUGGCAAUCAUUAUUUAACAGUAUUCCUUUUCACUGAAAUAUAACCAUGUAAUGCUUACGAUUUAAUCUGGUUAUCUAGACAACUAAAUGGGUUAAUGUUAUGCUUACUAUCUUUUGGCAUAUGUAAUGCGUGGAAGGAAACCAGUGUCUUUUGAUAGGGAUUUCUGGAGGGGAAUAUUUGUUCAGAAUCUUCAGUCUUGUAAUUUUCUCCUUGAUGACAAUGACCAUGUUGUGCUGGGGGAUUUGGGAUUCCAUCCUUGCCGUAUGGACUUCCGCUGCCAAAUCCAGAUCUUAUCCAAAGACAUGGGACUCCAAAUUACAUGCCCCAGAACAUUGGCGACCAAACAUCAGAGGCCCAAUUAGUUACUAUACUGACUCAUUGGGGUUUCGCUUGGAGCAUUCUUGAGAUGUUCAGUGGUGUUCAGACUUGGUGUGCCAAAUCACCAGAUGAGAUUUAUCAGUCAGUUGUCCUACAGAAAGAGAAACCGAUGUUCCUGUACAAUUUACCUAUGGAGGUCGCUAAUGUCCUCUCUGGCUGCUAUGAGUAUGACUUUCGGGAUCACUCCUUGAUGUUAGAUAUCUUACAAUCAUUUGAAAGGUUGGAGGUGACACAUGAACGCUGGCAAUGCAAAAUAGCAGAUAUAAAAUAACUGCAGCUCAGGCCAUGUAGUUCUACAACAACCAAGGAAGAAGUCUGUUUUUAAGCCGACCUCGGCCAAGCAUUUAAGCUUAUAUGGGUGCUCUCUAUUUUUCAGAGUUGCGUGUACUGAGAACGCCCAUGAUUUAGGGCCAAAAAUCUAGACAAAGUGACAAAACUGAAAUACGAGACUUACUUGAAGCCAGUGAUAGCCCAUUGAAGGAUGCCGAUUGUGGCUAUCCAACUACAACAAUGUGCUUGCAACUCAUGAGUGGCAAAGUAUAACAUGCCUCCUUUAUUAAAGAAGCCCCUUCAAUUUAUGUAUGCAGAAUGCUGUGAAGGACUCGUGACAAAGCUAGAUCUGUAUGCAUGUCUUAAUGUAUUUUCAUACUAGCUUGAGUAAUGUACUCUUGCCCGCCGCACGGCACCACCUUUGUAGUGUAUUCUUGGUCGCUUGUUGCUCAAUUAGGUUAUUCUAUUUCCUUUUUCUUUUUAUUCACAAUUGUUGCCAUGAAUGUGCCGUGCAUUUGGUCCUAUCAACAAUUUAAACCUGUCAAUUGAGAAAGGAUAUGCACAUCAUCAGUGCACUUCUAUUUA